UACAGAGGUCCCAAGCGUUGUUCGGAUUCACUGGGCGUAAAGGGUGCGUAGGUGGUUAGGUAAGUCCGAUGUGAAAUCUCCAGGCUCAACCUGGAAAUGGCAUUGGAUACUAUUUAGCUUGAGGAAUGGAGGGGGGACUGGAAUUCUCGGUGUAGCAGUGAAAUGCGUAGAUAUCGAGAGGAACACCAGUGGCGAAGGCGAGUCCCUGGACACUUCCUGACACUGAGGCACGAAAGCUAGGGGAGCAAACAGG
rnacentral:rRNA from 1 species